rnacentral:rRNA from 1 species
GGGAAUGGCAGGAUGGACUGCCGGGCUUGAGGCACGUAAGGGUCGAUGGAACUCUGGGUGGAGCGGUGAAAUGCGUAGAUAUCCAGAGGAACGCCGGUGGCGAAGGCGAUCGGCUGGGCGUGUCCUGACGCUGAGGCACGAAAGCGUGGGGAGCGAACGGGAUUAGAUACCCCGGUAGUCCACGCCCUAAACGAUGUGCACUGGCUUCGGGAGCUUCUGACGGCGUCCGGGGCGUAGGGAAACCGUUAAGUGCACCGCCUGGGGAGUACGGCCGCAAGGCUAAAACUCAAAGGAAUUGACGGGGGCUCACACAAGCGGUGGAGCAUGUGGCUUAAUUCGAAGCAACGCGAAGAACCUUACCUGGGUUUGACAUGUUCGGAUGCGUCUCGGGAAACCGGGAGCCGCUGCCUUCGGGUGAAACGGACACAGGUGCUGCAUGGCUGUCGUCAGCUCGUGCUGUGAGGUGUUGGGUUAAGUCCCGUAACGAGCGAAACCCUUGCCGCUAGUUGCCAACGGUUCGGCCGGGCACUCUAGCGGGACUGCCGGCGUCAAGCCGGAGGAAGGUGGGGACGACGUCAAGUCAUCAUGGCCUUUAUGCCCAGGGAUGCACACGUGCUACAAUGCCCGUGACAGAGCGACGCUAAGCCGCGAGGCGACGCAAAUCGCAAAAAAACGGGCCCAGUUCAGAUUGCAGUCUGCAACUCGACUGCAUGAAGUCGGAAUCGCUAGUAAUCGCGCAUCAGCUACGGCGCGGUGAAUAUGUUCCUGAGCCUUGUACACACCGCCCGUCAAGCCAUGGGAGCCGGGACCACCCGAAGUCCGCUUAGCGAAC